rnacentral:rRNA from 1 species
AGAUUAAGCCAUGCAUGUCUCAGUACAAGCCUCAUUAAGGUGAAACCGCGAAAGGCUCAUUAAAUCAGUUAUGGUUCCUUAGAUCGUACCCACACUUACUUGGAUAACUGUGGUAAUUCUAGAGCUAAUACAUGCAAACAGAGCUCCGACCGGAGACGGAAGGAGUGCUUUUAUUAGAUCAAAACCAAUCGGCGGCGGGCGCGUUCGCGCGUCCGUUCGCCGCUCAACCUGGUGACUCUGAAUAACUUUCGGCUGAUCGCACGGUCUCGCACCGGCGACGCAUCUUUCAAAUGUCUGCCUUAUCAACUGUCGAUGGAAGGUUCUGCCCCUACCAUGGUCGUACCGGGUAACGGGGA